rnacentral:rRNA from 1 species
GCUGGCGGCGUGCCUAACACAUGCAAGUCGAGGGGUGAUUUCGGUCAUCACUGGCGCACGGGUGAGUAACGCGUAGAUCAUCUGCCCCUAUCACUGACAUAACAGUUCUAACGGACUGCUAAUAUCAGAUGAGGUGAGCAAUCAUCAAAGUUUCGACGGAUAGGGAUGAGUCUGCGUCUGAUUAGGUAGUUGGUGAGGUAACGGCUCACCAAGCCGACGAUCAGUAACUGGUCUGAGAGGACGAACAGUCACACUGGAACUGAGACACGGUCCAGACUCCUACGGGGAGGCAGCAGUGAGGAAUAUUGCACAAUGGGAGCAAUCCUGAUGCAGCGACGCCGCGUGCGGGAUGAAGGGGCUUAGCCUCGUAAACCGCUGUCGGAGGGGACGAAUGGUACAUUUGAUGUACUGAGACGGUACCUCAAAGGAGGAUCGGCUAACUACGUGCCAGGCAGCCGCGGUAAUACGUAGGAUCCGAGCGUGUACCGG